UAAUCUAAUAUAUACAAAGAUAAAUGGGUUCAUACUUAGCCCAUGAGCCAAAAAUCUACCCUAAGGCUCAUGAGAAUCCUAGGACCUUCUCUUGCAUCUUUGAUUCAAUCUUUUUGGAGUCUUCUAUCCAAUGUCCUUGGGGAGGGGGGUAGGAUUGCAUCAUUGAGUUUCUUCCUAAAUAUGUAAAUAUGUAUGUUAACAACUUCUUUUUGCAAGUAUAAUAAAUAAAUAUUGAUAUCUAAUAGAAAAGUCCAAAGUCACAUAUAUAAAGUAAUAAAUUGAUGGAUUAAUUAAUUUUUAAAUCUCUCAUUCUAUAUGAAUUUUUACUUUUAAUCCUCCAAAAAUAUUUUGAUCAAUUUUGAUUCUCAUAAGCUUGUCCAUUUCAUUUUUAGUCCAUGCAUUUAACUUAUAUUAUUAAGUGAUGAUCUAACAUUCAUAUAGAUAUGUCACAUGAAUAAUUGUUGCUGAUGUGAUAGUCGUGUUAUUUUUUUAAAAAUUAAUUUUUUUAAAAUUGCCAAAAAAUAUAUUCCAAUUUCUAUUAGAAAUCUCAGAAAGUUUGACCAUUUUUUUAGUGAUUAAAAAUGGUUAAACUGUUUUCUUAGGAUUAAAAAUAAAAAUUGGGAAGGAAAAAAAAAAACAGUAUCACUUUUUUAAACUACUGACCUGUCCUACUACUUGGGUCAAAUAGUAGCUUUAUUUCCUUUUAAGCCUCCCUUUUCGAUCGCAUGGUGUUGUUCCAAUCGAGAUAAUUGACCAUUUUAUUGGGUUUGCGUUUUGUUAUCACCUUUCUCCUUCCAAUCUUCACCAGCAACAGAGGACCUAGGAUUUGAAAAGGGUGGUUGGGAAGGGAUAAUUGGUGUGGAUGGAAGCUAUGUUCUUUUCUAAUUUAAUCUAUCCAGAAAGAAAAACAAAAAAAUUGAUGUACAAUUCCAUUUCAAUGAAAUUGAGCUUUCUAGAAAAAG
rnacentral:lncRNA from 1 species